UACGGAGGGUGCAAGCGUUGUCCGGAAUCACUGGGCGUAAAGGGCGCGUAGGCGGCUCGGUAAGUAGGGGGUGAAAUCCUGCGGCUUAACCGCAGGGCUGCCUUCUAAACUGUCGAGCUUGAGCACGGUAGAGGCAGAUGGAAUUCCCGGUGUAGCGGUGGGAUGCGUAGAGAUCGGGAAGAACAUCAGUGGCGAAGGCGGUCUGCUGGGCCGUUGCUGACGCUGAGGCGCGACAGCGUGGGGAGCAAACAGG
rnacentral:rRNA from 1 species